CUCUUAGUCUACUGGGAAGAACUAGUCUUGCAUGAGGAUCUCAGCUCCUACCUGAGCCUCUUGCUUUCCUCUUGGUGAACUCUGAGGGGAGAGAACCAGUGCUAGUGUUCAGAAACUGUUGGUCAGGCGUUUAGCAACCUGCUGAACUGAACUGGAAUUUGUGACUAGAGAAGCAGUACAUUAAACACUAUAUUUCCAUUCUCACAAAUGCUGCAUUCUUCAGUUCUGCCACCUCAUUCAACACGAUAUAUUAGGUCUUACCAACCUAGAAAAUAAUAUCAGAUUGGAACAGAGGUUGUUUAACUUUUGACUUGCUUGAUCUACUGUUGAUGAGUCUCUAUAAACUGCCAACCUGAACAUGGAGCAAAAGAUGGAUAGAUUGAAUCAAUAACAGAGCUGAAAGAAAGUCUUUUCAUGCAAAAAAAAAAAGAAAGAAGGAAAGAAGGAAGGAAAGAAAGAAAGAAAAAGCCCAUUCGUGUAUACAGUUUUUUUUUAAAGUUCAGGAAAAUAUGUUAGAAAAAGAACUCAUUUUAUUGUUUCUAGUGUUAAAUGAGUGUCAGAAAUCCUUUUUGAUCUGCUACAAAUUACCUCCAGAACAAUCACUAGAUCUUGAUUAACGUGACAGAAUAAUUGGGAUUUGCUUACACACAAGUUUCCAAUAGCAAUUUAUUGCUAAUAGUUCCCUUAAUCUUAUGGAAGAGGCUGACCUGUUUCCAUUCUAUCAUCUUAAUUGAGGCUUAAUGUGGUACCACAGCCUAUUUGAAAUACAGCUGACCUAAGCCAGCCAUUGCAGGAAGAAUUACUGCACCAAGAUAGUCAGAUAUUGCUGCAUACAAGCAGCAUCCUGGUUCUUUCCUGUGCAUACAAGCAGUAUCCUGUAUCCUGGGUCAAUUGAGGGUCUUUUACAAUGCCAUGCAUUUGCAUGCGGUAGUCCUGCCUAAUCCCUUGUCUUCUGAUUUAUUGUUAUUGAACAGGGCUAUCCUUAGGGACUUCUGCCCAGCUUUAUAAACUAUUGUCCAGUAUCCUGUGUACUCUAAUACAAAUUGACACUUAUUUUCUCUUAUGGAUGCAAAAUUGUAUUCCUCCAUGCAGUGCGGACAUGGAGGUUUUAUCCAGAUGGCCAGGAAGCACAGAUUCAAACGAUCAGUAUGGAUAUAGGGAGAAGAACAACAGAAACAAUGUGUUUGUGAUAUGAGCUUCAGCUGAUUUCGGUUUUCCUAUUAACAGGAAACAAGCACUCCAACUCCUAUUAAUAAAAAGAUCUUUCAGGCCGAGGCCUUGU